CCGUCUCUCUUUCCCCUCUUAUUCUUUAUUUUCUUUAUUUUCUGUGUGCACUCCACUUCCUUCCCACUUAUCUUCUUUUCUGCUGCCUUUGUUUAAAUUUUCCCAAUUUUUUUGGCGGUCCAAUUGUAAAUAAUAGGCGCUUGUUUUUUUAAUUUUCCCAAUUUUUUUUAUAGGACAAAACGUCGAUUCUUUUGCUAUAUUCCACUCUGUGAACCUUAAAAGCAUAUUUCAUAUUUCAUAUUUCCGAAACUUGUAUAUAUAAUUUGUAUAUUUAAGAAAGAGCGCCCACAUUUGCCUAGACUGCAGACUGCCCCGAAACGUGGAAUUUUUUUUUUAUUAUGAUCGGAACACAGGUGGUAUACAACAUAGUUUUAUAUAAGUAAUGAGAAAUUUUAUUGUUUCAAUUCUUAACUUUUUAUAGUGACAAGUGGUGUAUAAUCCAAAGUUUCGGUCACAUUGAAUAAUAAUUAUGCAUAAUUAAAGAAAAGGAAUUGUUUAGAGUUUUUCUAGUUAUAUGAGCUCUAGUAGAGUAGGAUGAGACCUGGUUUGGAUAUGGAAUGAAUAAGUAAUUAUUUAAGAUAUUCUUCUUUCAACUUAUAAUAAUUAUGUAUAAUUAAAGAAAAAGAAAGAAAACAAGAAAUGAUCUUAAAAGUUCCAGAAUUAAACAACCGAACCUUAGG
rnacentral:lncRNA from 1 species